rnacentral:rRNA from 1 species
UUAAGCGACUAAGCGUACACGGUGGAUGCCCUGGCAGUCAGAGGCGAUGAAGGACGUGCUAAUCUGCGAAAAGCGUCGGUAAGGUGAUAUGAACCGUUAUAACCGGCGAUGUCCGAAUGGGGAAACCCAGUGCAAUUCGUUGCACUAUCGUUAACUGAAUACAUAGGUUAACGAGGCGAACCGGGGGAACUGAAACAUCUAAGUACCCCGAGGAAAAGAAAUCAACCGAGAUUCCCCCAGUAGCGGCGAGCGAACGGGGAGCAGCCCAGAGUCUGAAUCAGCUUGUGUGUUAGUGGAACGGUCUGGAAAGUCCGACGGUACAGGGUGAUAGUCCCGUACACCAAAAUGCACAGGCUGUGAACUCGAAGAGUAGGGCGGGACACGUGGUAUCCUGUCUGAAUAUGGGGGGACCAUCCUCCAAGGCUAAAUACUCCUGACUGACCGAUAGUGAACCAGUACCGUGAGGGAAAGGCGAAAAGAACCCCGGCGAGGGGAGUGAAAAAGAACCUGAAACCGUGUACGUACAAGCAGUGGGAGCACCUUCGGGUGUGACUGCGUACCUUUUGUAUAAUGGGUCAGCGACUUAUAUUCUGUAGCAAGGUUAACCGUAUAGGGGAGCCGCAGGGAAACCGAGUCUUAACUGGGCGUUAAGUUGCAGGGUAUAGACCCGAAACCCGGUGAUCUAGCCAUGGGCAGGUUGAAGGUUGGGUAACACUAACUGGAGGACCGAACCGACUAAUGUUGAAAAAUUAGCGGAUGACUUGUGGCUGGGGGUGAAAGGCCAAUCAAACCGGGAGAUAGCUGGUUCUCCCCGAAAGCUAUUUAGGUAGCGCCUCGUGAACUCAUCUUCGGGGGUAGAGCACUGUUUCGGCUAGGGGGUCAUCCCGACUUACCAACCCGAUGCAAACUACGAAUACCGAAGAAUGUUAUCACGGGAGACACACGGCGGGUGCUAACGUCCGUCGUGAAGAGGGAAACAACCCAGACCGCCAGCUAAGGUCCCAAAGUCAUGGUUAAGUGGGAAACGAUGUGGGAAGGCACAGACAGCCAGGAUGUUGGCUUAGAAGCAGCCAUCAUUUAAAGAAAGCGUAAUAGCUCACUGGUCGAGUCGGCCUGCGCGGAAGAUGUAACGGGGCUAAACCAUGCACCGAAGCUGCGGCAGCGACACUAUGUGUUGUUGGGUAGGGGAGCGUUCUGUAAGCCUGCGAAGGUGACCUGUGAGGGUUGCUGGAGGUAUCAGAAGUGCGAAUGCUGACAUAAGUAACGAUAAAGCGGGUGAAAAGCCCGCUCGCCGGAAGACCAAGGGUUCCUGUCCAACGUUAAUCGGGGCAGGGUGAGUCGACCCCUAAGGCGAGGCCGAAAGGCGUAGUCGAUGGGAAACAGGUUAAUAUUCCUGUACUUGGUGUUACUGCGAAGGGGGGACGGAGAAGGCUAUGUUAGCCGGGCGACGGUUGUCCCGGUUUAAGCAUGUAGGCUGGUUGUCCAGGCAAAUCCGGAUAAUCAAGGCUGAGGUGUGAUGACGAGGCACUACGGUGCUGAAGUAACAAAUGCCCUGCUUCCAGGAAAAGCCUCUAAGCAUCAGGUAACAUUAAAUCGUACCCCAAACCGACACAGGUGGUCAGGUAGAGAAUACCAAGGCGCUUGAGAGAACUCGGGUGAAGGAACUAGGCAAAAUGGUGCCGUAACUUCGGGAGAAGGCACGCUGGUGUGUAGGUGAAGCCCCUGCGGGUGGAGCUGAGACCAGUCGAAGAUACCAGCUGGCUGCAACUGUUUAUUAAAAACACAGCACUGUGCAAACACGAAAGUGGACGUAUACGGUGUGACGCCUGCCCGGUGCCGGAAGGUUAAUUGAUGGGGUUAUCCGUAAGGAGAAGCUCUUGAUCGAAGCCCCGGUAAACGGCGGCCGUAACUAUAACGGUCCUAAGGUAGCGAAAUUCCUUGUCGGGUAAGUUCCGACCUGCACGAAUGGCGUAAUGAUGGCCAGGCUGUCUCCACCCGAGACUCAGUGAAAUUGAACUCGCUGUGAAGAUGCAGUGUACCCGCGGCAAGACGGAAAGACCCCGUGAACCUUUACUAUAGCUUGACACUGAACAUUGAGCCUUGAUGUGUAGGAUAGGUGGGAGGCUUUGAAGCGUGGACGCCAGUCUGCGUGGAGCCAACCUUGAAAUACCACCCUUUAAUGUUUGAUGUUCUAACGUUGGCCCCUGACCGGGGUUGCGGACAGUGUCUGGUGGGUAGUUUGACUGGGGCGGUCUCCUCCCAAAGCGUAACGGAGGAGCACGAAGGUUAGCUAAUCCUGGUCGGACAUCAGGAGGUUAGUGCAAUGGCAUAAGCUAGCUUGACUGCGAGCGUGACGGCGCGAGCAGGUGCGAAAGCAGGUCAUAGUGAUCCGGUGGUUCUGAAUGGAAGGGCCAUCGCUCAACGGAUAAAAGGUACUCCGGGGAUAACAGGCUGAUACCGCCCAAGAGUUCAUAUCGACGGCGGUGUUUGGCACCUCGAUGUCGGCUCAUCACAUCCUGGGGCUGAAGUAGGUCCCAAGGGUAUGGCUGUUCGCCAUUUAAAGUGGUACGCGAGCUGGGUUUAGAACGUCGUGAGACAGUUCGGUCCCUAUCUGCCGUGGGCGCUGGAGAAUUGAGGGGGGCUGCUCCUAGUACGAGAGGACCGGAGUGGACGCAUCACUGGUGUUCGGGUUGUCAUGCCAAUGGCACUGCCCGGUAGCUAAAUGCGGAAGAGAUAAGUGCUGAAAGCAUCUAAGCACGAAACUUGCCCCGAGAUGAGUUCUCCCUGAGACUUUAAGUCUCCUGAAGGAACGUUGAAGACGACGACGUUGAUAGGCCGGGUGUGUAAGCGCAGCGAUGCGUUGAGCUAACCGGUACUAAUGAACCGUGAGGCUUAACCUU